CAGCCCCUCGAGUGGUGGGGAUGAUUAUUUGGCCUAAAGCGUCCGUAGCCGGCCGGGUAAGUUUCCCGUUAAAUCCAGCGUCUCAAGCGUUGGACUGCGGGAAAUACUGCCUGGCUAGAGAGUGGGAGAGGUCAGCGGUAUUCUGGGGGUAGGGGCGAAAUCCUUUGAUCCCCGGAGGACCACCAGUGGCGAAGGCUGCUGACUAGAACACGUCUGACGGUCAGGGACGAAAGCUGGGGUAGCGAACCGGAUUAGAUACCCGCGUAGUCC
rnacentral:rRNA from 1 species